CUGGAGAGGAGGCUACGCCUUUCACAGGGCACACUGGAAAAAGAGGAAAAGCGUCCCCCGUAAAAGGAAACCAACGGCAGGUCCUGGCUACCACCACGGAAGGGAACUGAGGACCUUCAACAGGGGUGGGGUGGCAGAGAAGCUUUGGGUUGAGACAACUCUGAAGUACACCUAACUUCGAGGAAGAUAGGAGAUCCUGCCUCUGGAGCCUGGGAACGCAACCUGCUUUGGUAACUGACCUGGACAUGAGGUUUGAGCACCAAGUACCAGUUCAUGACCCUGAGCAGUCACCGCAUACUUUGAAACUCCGCAGAAAUCCCCAUUCCUCCAGUGAGUUCCCAGCCAAGAAAGAAAAAAAGAAAAAAAAAGAAUGGGGGGCACACUUUUAAAAAGAA